CCAACGGCUCUUUUAAGAGCCACCAUUACGUAGUUCAGGAAAAGAG
rfam:Cavia porcellus supercont2_38 genomic scaffold, whole genome shotgun sequence.